GCUGAUGGCGACCGGCGCACGGGUGAGUAACACGUAUCCAACCUGCCGUCUACUCUUGGCCAGCCUUCUGAAAGGAAGAUUAAUCCAGGAUGGGAUCAUGAGUUCACAUGUCCGCAUGAUUAAAGGUAUUUUCCGGUAGACGAUGGGGAUGCGUUCCAUUAGAUAGUAGGCGGGGUAACGGCCCACCUAGUCAACGAUGGAUAGGGGUUCUGAGAGGAAGGUCCCCCACAUUGGAACUGAGACACGGCCCAAACUCCUACGGGAGGCAGCAGUGAGGAAUAUUGGUCAAUGGGCGAUAGCCUGAACCAGCCAAGUAGCGUGAAGGAUGACUGCCCUAUGGGUUGUAAACUUCUUUUAUAAAGGAAUAAAGUCGGGUAUGCAUACCCGUUUGCAUGUACUUUAUGAAUAAGGAUCGGCUAACUCCGUGCCAGCAGCCGCGGUAAUACGGAGGAUCCGAGCGUUAUCCGGAUUUAUUGGGUUUAAAGGGAGCGUAGAUGGAUGUUUAAGUCAGUUGUGAAAGUUUGCGGCUCAACCGUAAAAUUGCAGUUGAUACUGGAUGUCUUGAGUGCAGUUGAGGCAGGCGGAAUUCGUGGUGUAGCGGUGAAAUGCUUAGAUAUCACGAAGAACUC
rnacentral:rRNA from 1 species